rnacentral:rRNA from 1 species
UGGGGAAUUUUGCACAAUGGGGGAAACCCUGAUGCAGCGACGCCGCGUGAUUUAGAAGGCCUUCGGGUUGUAAAAAUCUUUUCUAUGGGAAGAAAAUGACAGUACCAUAGGAAUAAGGACCGGCUAAUUACGUGCCAGCAGCCGCGGUAAUACGUAAGGUCCGAGCGUUGUCCGGAAUCAUUGGGCGUAAAGGGUACGUAGGCGGGUAAGCAAGUUAGAAGUGAAAUCCUGUAGCUCAACUACAGUAAGCUUUUAAAACUGCUCAUCUUGAGAUAUGGAAGGGAAAGUGGAAUUCAUAGUGUAGCGGUGAAAUGCGCAGAUAUUAGGAGGAAUACCGGUGGCGAAGGCGACUUUCUGGCCAUAAUCUGACGCUGAGGUACGAAAGCGUGGGUAGCAAACAG